GAGCCUUUCAAAGUCAUCCAUGCAUGUUGGAAUCAACUUCUUUCAAACUCCUGUUGAUAUUUUGACCUCCCAUGAAUCACAGAUGUUCUAAAUGACAUCUGAAUUGGUGAAUCCUUUCCAGAAGGCUUUCAGUUCAGUUUUGCCCAGAUCCAUCUGAGGAACCACUACCUAUGGCAGCAAUAGCCUGACAAAAUGUAUUAAAUGAUGCUAACACAUGAAGGUCAGAAUGACUCCUUGAUCCUUUGGCUGCGGAAUGGCUGUGUUCGCAGGCAUGAAAACAGCAUGAGUCUUGUAUAUCUCCAUGAGAGCUCUUGGGUGACUAGGCGUAUUGUCAGCAAGCAGUACUAUUUUGAAAGGAAUCUUCUGAGCAGUAGGUCUCAACAGUGGGCUGAAAAUAUUCACUAAACCAUGCUGUGAACAGAUGUGCUGACACCUGGGCUUUGUUGAUCCAUUUACAGUGCACAGGCAGAAGGAGUUUUGGAAUGGUGAAUGAGCACUGACUUCCACUUAAAGUCACCAGCUGCGUUAGCCCCUAACGAGAGUCAACUUGUCCUUUAAAGGUUUGAUGCUAGGCAUUGACUUCUCCUCUCUAGCUAUGAAAGUCCUAGAUGGCAUCUUCCACAUUGAAAAUCUGUUGUUUAAUGAAAGACUGUAAAACUCAAAGACAACACAAAAGAACAGAAUAAGCAGAAAAAACACCAAGUAGCCACCUUCAUCAGUUAUCUUAGCCAUGUCUUCUGGAUAACUUGCUGCAGCAUCCACAUCAGCACUUGCUGCUUGACUUUGAACUUUUGUGUGAUGGAGAUGGCUUCUUUAAACCUCGUGAACCAACCUCUGCUGCCUUCAGACUUUGCUUCUGCACCUUCCUCAGUUCUCUCAGGCUUCAUAGAAUUGGAGAGAGUUAGGGCCUUGCUCUGGAUUAGGCUUUGGUCUAAGGGAAUGUUGUGGCUGGUUUGAUCGUAUCUCCAGACCACUGAGACUUCCUCUGUAUCAGCAAUAAGGCUGUUUUGCUUUCUUAUCAAUUGUGUCUUCACGGGGGUAGCACUUUUAAUUUCCCUCAAGCUCUUUUUCCUUUGCAUUCACAACUUGGUCGUUUGGCACAAGAAGCCUGUCUUUGAACCUUUCUCAGCUUUCCACAUGCCUUUCUCAUUAAGAUUCGUCAUUUCCAUCUUUUAAUUUUAAAGUGAGAGAUGUGUGACUGUUUCUUUAACUUGAACACUCAGAAGCCGUUGUAGGGUUAUUAAUUAGCCUAAUUUCAAUAUGGUGUCUGGGGAACAGGGAGGCCUGAGGAGAGAGAGGGAGCAGCUGGUUGGUGGAGCAGUCAGAACACAGACCACGUUGAUGGAUUAAGUUAAUUGUCUCAUAUGGCACAGUUUGUGGCACCCCAAAACAAUUACAAUAGUAACAUCACAAAUCACUCAUCACCAUAAACAGAUAAAAUAAUAAUGAAAAAGUUUGACAUAUUGCAGGAAUUACCAGAUUGUGACCCAGAAAACACAAAAUGGCCACAUCCUGUUGGACAAAUGGCACCAAAAGACUUGCUCAGCACAGAGUUGCCACAACCUUCAGUUUGUAAAAAAACACAAUUGCCUGUGAAGCUUGAUAAAGUGAAAUGCAGUGAAAUGAAGGCUGCCUGUAUUAAGCUGUUUAUACUGAGGUCUUUCUGGGCAGCUGAUGGUUUGAUUUAUCUUUUUUAUUCUGGUCGUAAUCUGAAGGAGUGGCUGAGGGAGCAGUUUUGUGAUCACCCGCUGGAGCACUGUGAGGACACGAGGCUCCAUGAUGCAGCCUACGUCGGGGACCUCCAGACCCUCAGGAGCCUGUUGCAAGAGGAGAGCUACCGGAGCCGCAUCAAUGAGAAGUCUGUCUGGUGCUGUGGCUGGCUCCCCUGCACACCGCUGCGAAUUGCGGCCACUGCAGGCCAUGGGAACUGUGUGGACUUCCUCAUCCGGAAGGGGGCCGAGGUGGAUCUGGUGGACGUAAAAGGACAGACGGCCCUGUAUGUGGCUGUGGUGAACGGGCACCUAGAGAGUACCCAGAUCCUUCUUGAAGCUGGCGCGGACCCCAACGGAAGCCGGCACCAUCGCAGCACCCCCGUGUACCACGCCUCUCGCGUGGGCCGGGCCGACAUCCUGAAGGCCCUUAUCAGGUAUGGGGCUGAUGUUGACGUCAACCACCACCUGACUCCUGACAUCCAGCCCCGAUUCUCCCGGCGGCUCACUUCCUUGGUGGUCUGCCCCUUGUACAUCAGCGCAGCCUACCACAACCUCCAGUGCUUCCGGCUGCUCCUCCUGGCAGGAGCGAACCCUGACUUCAACUGCAAUGGUCCUGUCAACACACAGGGAUUCUACAGGGGCUCCCCUGGGUGCGUCAUGGAUGCUGUUCUGCGUCACGGCUGUGAGGCAGCCUUCGUGAGCCUGCUGGUGGAGUUUGGAGCCAACCUGAAUCUAGUGAAGUGGGAAUCAUUGGGCCCAGAGUCGAGAGGAAGAAGAAAGGUGGACCCUGAGGCCUUGCAGGUCUUUAAAGAGGCCAGAAGUGUUCCCAGAACCUUGCUGUGUCUGUGCCGUGUGGCUGUGAGAAGAGCUCUUGGCAAAUACCGGCUUCAUCUGAUUCCUUCGCUGCCUCUGCCAGACCCCAUAAAGAAGUUUCUACUUCAUGAGUAGACUUCAAGUGCUGCAGUUGAUUCCAGCAAGGGAGAAGGUGAUCUGCAGAGAAGGUGGACACCAAACCCUGAGUGCUGUGCUGCUGGUGGUAUCCUGAUGGCUGUUGCUACUGAAGGUGUCGUCGUGGACUGUCAUUGCUCCUCAGGAGCCCACCCUGGUUUCAUCCCUAAGCUGGCCUGCUCUUCCCAGAGUGUGUUUCGUCAGCUGCAUCUCUGAACAGCAGUAACCGCAGCCGUGUUGAGGCCCUUCCCUCAGCCACCCUGGAGGUAGGACCCAGGUCCCCAGUUUUUACGUGAGAAAGUGGCUUCAGUGAGUCCGUGGCUUCAGUCACACCCCGAGGUCCCACAGUGAGGGAGUGGGUGCAGGGCCCCUGCACUUGACCUCUGACCUGCUGCCCCUCCGAGGGUCUCUGUUAGUUCGCUCUGGUUGGGGCAGUCGGUUCUCCUCAGUUUCCGCUAACAGAGCUGGGUGGGCCUGCCUGGUGCCGGCUUUGCGGCUUGCUUGCUGGGGCAGGUGGUGGAGAGCGAGCACCCAUUUAACCUACUAGAAAGGGGUCUCUGGAGGUGGGCGCCUCAGGGAGCGGAGAGAGGCAGGGGCUGUGCCCGCCCUCCACCUCCCCGCCACCCCAGGACCUUCUCUGCCACGGCCUGCUGAAGUGGGGGUCAGCACAGAAGAUUCCGGAAGGUCUCCUCACUUGGCUGCCCUCCUUCGGGUGUUUUUUCAUCUUGAUUUCUUUUGGGAGGAGCCUAGAUACUUUUACUUUUAAAAUAAGCCUUGUAUCUUCUCACUCUUUAAACACCACAAAAUGGGUGGCAUUAUUAAAAUACAAAAAAACCUCUGCAAACUAUAACUUUCCUGUGCACAACGGAGAAGACCGAUUUUAAAAGUGGAGCAGGUGUUUUUUAUGUUGUGCACACUUAGUAUAAGCAAACUGAGCAAUCUGAAUAAGCCCGAGUGCCCCUUUGCUCCCAUAUUUGUGUCUAAUGCUGACAGUUUUGUGGAAAAGCUGUUUUUACGAUUCUGAAGUACCUACACCCCUCCCUUGUGUAAAAUUUAAUCACAUCUUAUUGCAUCCGGCAUUAACACUCAUAGUUUAUUGAGGAGUGUUCUCUGGAGCUUGCUGAGCAUGGGGUUGUGAAGUGAUGCCUGGGUGCCUGGGAGGAGGUGAUAUGUAAGUCCAGACACUGUACGCAGGGAAUGAAACAUUCCCCCGAAUUCCGGGAACACACCGGCUCCCAGCCUCAAGGUUCCCAUCUGGAGGGUCUCACCUCCCAAGGUAACAGCAUCGUUUUCCCAGCUUGAAGAGUGAGAUGUGGGACAUGGAGCUGGCCUUUCCUGUCCCUCGCGCUGUGGGAGGCAUCCAUGGAGGUGUGUGCGAGCUGCUCCCGGAGCUCCUGGGAUCAGGCCCCGGGGGAUGUGCUCAGGCCCAGUGGGGGCAGGUCUGCAGGGCCACAUUCAGACAUGACAGCACUGGGAAGGGCCACACCAUGCAUGGCCCCAUGGGGCAGAACACCCCCAAGAGGCCACCAGGGGUUGGCUGGCAGAUGGUUCCACACUCCAUUCUCAUCAGCACCUCUCAGGGGAGGGCUGGGCCCUGGGAGCGGCUCUUGCAGGGAGGAGGGCCUCUGGCACACUGUGAGGGACAAACAGUGAAGUGGCUGCACCUGCAACAUCAGACCGGCCCUCCAGAAUAGUGGCCAGGACCCCUGCCCGGUGUCCAGCGGCAGUGGUGAGGGCAGGCCUGGGUGUCCAGGAGCAGGAGACGUGGGACAGAGGAGCCCUCAACGAGACCCGUGUUCUCUUGUGUUCGAGCAAGACCCCAGGCAGCGGCGUGGAGGUCAGUGAAGCUGGGCAGUCGCUUCUGUCCAGAGCUGGGAGGCAUAGGGGGGCCCUCUGUGGAUUGGGAGUGUGACGGCCCUGUCUGGAGCUGGGAGGCGGGGGGCCCCUCCGAGGGUCGGGAGUGUAAUGACCCUGUCUGGAACUGGGCAGCCCCCGAUCCCUGGCACUUCUGGGCUUAGAGGACGCCUUGGCUGCUUCAGGGGUUGGCCUCAACUACGCUUCUGGCCGUACUGGGAGCGAGGCAGUGUUGCGGGGCUGGCUCAGGAGCCCUGCCUGAUGUGCUGUGAUCAUCUUGAGGACAGUCUCCUCAGCCAGGUUGGUGGUCACCCUGUUUGGGUGUUGGGUGCCAGGUGCUGGACUCCACUGGGCAGCACAGGGGACACAGCUUCUAGGUCCAGGCUGCUGCUCGCAGGUGAGGCGGCUAGAAUGGCGGCCCCGAGAGUGAUGUGUAUCCAGAGCGUGAGGAUGUGACCUCAUGGGCAAAAGGGUCUGCAAGAUAAAAUUAAGGAUCUUAAGAUAAUCUUGAAUGAAGGUGAGCCCUGAAUCCAAUGGCAAAUGUCCUUGUAAGAGACAGAAGAGGACAGACACAAACAUGAGGAGAAGGCGAUGUGAAGACAAUGCCGGGUGUGGGAAAGUUGGGGCCACAUCCAGGAGUGCUGGCAGCACCCGGGAGCUCCCCGGGAGGGCGCACCCUGUCCACAGCUGUGCUCUCACUUGCAAACCUGCAGUCAUCCCCAGGCCAGGGACCGCUUCUGGGGAACCCAAUUCACGACAGGCUGUAACUGGACUUAGGGCUGGAACCACACUGCGGAAGGUAGGGUGGGCUUCUGACCACUGGCUGAAGGGGUCUGCCUGACGGUUGGGCGAGGCCCAUCGUUCUACUGAUGCACAGACGCCCGUCCCCGCCUUGUGCCAAGCACUGCACUUUCACGUCUGGAGCUGCUCCCACCCCACUGUGGCUGCUGGUGGGGGCAGUGAAGGUGCUGGAGGAGAACCCGGUGAGGGAUGAUGUCAUUGCAAGGUUUCAUGUGGGCAGAGACUUGUGUUUUUUUUUUUCAAUCUGCCACACAUUUUGCUCACUCUUUUACUUUCAGCGUUUCUGAGUUUUUUUGUUUGUUUUGUUUUAGGGCAGGAAUCAGCAGUGUUUCCUGUAAAGGGACAGAUAGUGAAUAUUCUAGGCCUUGUGAGCCAUUCGGUCCUUGACACACAUACUCAACACUGCUGUAUUGUGAGAAAGCCACAGUGGGUGUGGCUGUGUUCCAGUGAAACUUUAUUUACACAAGCAGGAAGUGAGGCUGGAUUUGGACCAAAGGCAGUUUGCUGAGCCUUGUUUAAGGGCUGUAAUUUUUAUUUUUAUUUUUAUUUCUUUUAUUAUUUUUUUUUGAGGCAGUCUCGCUCUUGUCACCCAGG